rnacentral:lncRNA from 1 species
AAAUCCGGAUACAUCCUGACAAGAGAUUUCCUCUCCUCUCCUUUUUGCUCACAAAGCCAAAUCCCUGCUGACCAUGAACGGAGACGUGUUAGGGUGACCUUGUCUUCGUAGAAAGGUCAUUCAGCUGUCAAUGGGAUGUCCCCAGGAGAAAAGAAGCAGGGCUUAUUUUUAGGGCUUAUAAUUUUGCUUUAAUUUUCUUCACAAGUCUGUUUUAUUCAUAGACACCAGGUGUGUUUUUUAAAUCCUUAUUUAAUGUGUGUGUGUGUGUAUGUAUGUAUGUAUGUACAUACGUACAAACAAAUGCACACAUAUGGAAGGGCGAUGGUGCACAUGAGGCAGGAAGAAAACUCACAGGCGUCUAUUCUCUCCUACCAUGUGGAUUCAUGGGAUCGAACUUGGGUCAUUAGACUUGGCAGCAAGCACCUCUACCCCCUGAGUCAUCCCCUUCAGCCUACCACUUCUCCUUUAAGAAAACAGAUGAGCAAGGGCAGUAGACUUUUAAAGAUUUUUUUGAUUGAUUGAUUGAUUGAUUUAAUAUAACUACACUGUCACUGUCUUCAGACACACCAGAAGAGGGCAUCAGAUCCCAUUACAAAUAUUUGUGAGCCACCAUGUGGUGGCUGGGAAUUGAACUCAAAACCUCUGGAAGAGCAGUCAGUGCUCUUAAGCUCUGAGCCAUCUCUUCAGGAUCCCCCUCCCAAGCUCCCUCCCCGCUCCCCUGCACUGGACUUUUUACAUUGACCAUUUGCAUCAUAGCUGUGUCUGGAGUCCAGGGCAUCCUGAGUACUCUUUUCCUGUCUGAGCUGCCCUUGGGCAGUGGUGACUUGGAGAAGUGGUUUUCGGCAUGCUGGGAGAUGCAGCCGGUAGGAACUUGGUGUUGGCUAGCUGUUUUUGGAGAUUAUGUAGCACUUAUUUAUUCAUUGUUUGCUUAUCUUAUUUUACUUUGCUUGAGGCAGGGUCUUACUCUGUAGAGGAGGCUGGCCUUGAAGUCUCAGAUCCACGGCCCUCUGCCUCCUGAGUGCUGGGAUUAAAAGUGUGUGUGACACCUGCUUGGCUCUGUGUGCGUUAUUUUUUUGUUGUUGUUGUUUUAUGAGAAGGUGGUUAUGUUGCCCAAGCUAGCCUUGAAUUUGGCUCAGUGAUCUUUGUGCUUCAUCUCUGUAAGUAGUUGUGAUUAUAGGACUGUGCAACCAUACCUAUUUGAUGGUUUGAAAGUAAGCCAGAUUCAUUUCAGCUUAAACCUGUUCUAAAGAGGAUUUCAAAGUAAUCUUGAUUUUAUUUUUAAAUGUGUUUUGUUCAAGCCAUUUGGAAAGUUUAGUGUAUUCAGUUUUGAAAUUCAGAUAUGAAAAUUGACUUUAAUUUUGAAUGUGUACUUAUAAUGUGUCAGAUAUGACUAAAUGACUUCUGUUGCAUUAUUCCACGCGAUCAUAUCUGCUGGACAGAGACUUGUGGAAAACAGAAGUCAGCUGGAUAUUGUCAUCAGUUUGGUGGCCAGACUGCCAUGAGAAGACUUAGAACUUUGACAGGUACAGUCUGUCAGCUCAGUAUUUUAUCAGUUGACUCAAAGUAUUGGAGUCCUGGCUGAGGAAUUAAAAGGACCAUGAUCUACUCCUGGCUCCGGCACUGUCUUACUUAGCAUUUUAUUGCUGUAAAGAGACACCAUGACCAAGGCAACUCUUAUAAAGGACAGCAUUUAAUUGGGACUGGCUUACAGGUUCAGCGGUUCAUUAUCAUUAUGGCAGGAAGCAUGGCAGCAUCCAGGCAGACAUAGUGGUGGAAGAGCCAAGAGUUCUACAUCUUGAUCCAAGGGCGACCAGAAGAGAGUGUCUCCUAUAGGCAACCUGCAGGAGGGUCUCUUCCGCACUGGGCGGAGCUUAAGCAUAGGACCUGAAAGCCCACCCUCUACCAUGAUGCAUUUCUUCCAACAAGGCCACACCUCCUAAUAGCGCCACUCCUUGGGCCAAGCGUAUUCAAAUCACCACAUUCCAUUCCCUGACUCCCAGAAGUUUCUUCAAGCAUAUGAGUCUGUGGGGAACAUAACUCUAUAGUGUAAUGCAGAACACUCAGUCCAACUUCAAAAGUCUCCAUGGUCUAUCACAGUCUCAGCAAUGUUUAAAAGUCCAAAGUUCAAAGUCGCUCCUGAGAUUCACUCAAUCUCUGGACUGUAAUCCCCUAUGAAAUC